AUGAGGCUUGAUAUGGUAGCUUUCUUUUCUGUCUGGUGCUGUCUGCAAAUUCUAAGGAGCAAAGAGCCUGUGUUACAGUGCAGACUGUGCAAUAGGUCAGAGAAGAGAUUAGUGUCACUGAGAAGCUAACAGGCUACUGGUUUGCCUGCAUUAGUUGCAAGCUGAAAGGCUCCUGCUCAUGUCAUGCACUCACUCACCCAGGAAAUCAGAAGCUUUUCCAGGACAAAUCUGAGGAAACAAUGCACCAGGGUAACAACUUUGAGUGGAAAGAGAAUUAUAGAGACCUGGAAAGAUGCCAGAAUGCAGGUGGUGGAGGAAGCAGACCCAAGUGAUGGGGAUGGCUGUGGUUAUGUGCAAGAUUUCAGCUUGGACCUGCAAGUUGGUGUAAUUAAGCCCUGGUUGCUGCUUGGAUCACAAGAUGCUGCUCAUGAACUGGAAACGAUGAAGAGAUAUGGGGUUACUCAUGUCCUAAAUGUGGCAUAUGGAGUAGAAAAUGCCUUCCUCAAUGACUUUGUAUACAAGAGCAUUUCCAUACUGGAUCUUCCUGAAACAGACAUCACAUCCUAUUUUCCAGAGUGUUUUGAGUUUAUUGAGCAAGCUAGGAUUCAGGAUGGAGUGGUGCUGGUUCACUGUAAUGCAGGAGUCUCUCGUGCUGCAGCAAUUGUCAUUGGUUUUCUAAUGAAUUCAGAAGGACUUGGUUUUGCCAGAGCCUUUACUUUGGUGAAAAAUGCAAGGCCUGCCAUUUGUCCAAAUCCUGGCUUCAUGGAGCAGCUUCACAAGUACCAAGAGUACAAUGAAAAGGCAAAUGCAAGCAUAAAUGAUCAUGAAUGAUAAAGAGAAACAAAACAGUCUGUGUGCUUGUACUGUAACAGAUGUGUCGAUGUACUUUAUACUGUCAUUUCUCAGACUCCUCUCACAUGUUUAUUUUAAAUAUAUUUUCUACAUAUUUAAUUCUUCACUUUUUUAUCUAAAUAUGUUAUGUUACUUGGUCCAGACUUCAAGCAGUUAAGAGGCCAAACUUUAUUCCAUUGACUUCAGCGAUGAAUUGGCCCAAGGACAUGUUUUUCCCCAGAGUGGUGAUAAAAGAUCAAGUUCUAGCUUGUUUGAAAUAUCAGACAGAAGAGAAUGACAGGUUUUCAUUGAACUGUCUGAGGAUACAAGCAAUAGAAAAGGGAAAUAAAAUGCUGGCUCAGAUAAUAAAGUUACUGCAUUUACUUUAAUACUGAAUCCAAUCUUUAUCCAUUCUAGUUGGCUGUAAAACCUAGAUAAUAAACUAUUCUUAUAAUAAAGGGCCUCACAGUUGGGUCUUAAAUUGAACAUGCAAAGAAAGGCAGGUUUUUAUGGAAGCCUGUGGGUAGGCAGCCACUAAAUAUUUUUUAAGGAUUAAACUAGAUGGCCUUUUGAUGAAGAAGAAGAUGUAAAAUGUUUUAAUGCCCCAUUGAAACUUUUUUCUACACUGUCCUAUUAUGGGGUGACUUUAAGUACACUGAUAUUGCACUUUGAAAUGACAGGUAACUAACCUCAAAGUGAGAUAUUUAAGGAGGGGAAAAUGCCAAGAUUUCAAAGAGAAGAUUGUUUUAUUUAGAAUAAAAAGUAUUGUCUGGAUCAGGUUUUAUAAUUCAAUGUUUUUCACACACAGAUAUACUAUAAAAAUGAUACAAGACUGUAGGACAGGUAUAAAUGUGCAGUAAAAUGAAGGGCUACUGAGAGGCUUGCUUAUAAGAAUUUAUAGAGUAUGCUUUCCUUUGGGCACCAUUAACCUGAAUUGCAGUAAUUCCUAAGAUGAGUUAAUGUAUUCAGUCUAGUUCCUUGUAGAUUGAUGUUAAUACUAAGUGUUCAGAAACUUUAUUACCAUAGAGUUAAAGCUGUCCAAUGAUCUUACGCCCUUGCAGAACAUGUGAAUUAAACUUGAUCUUCUGAAAAUCAAAAUCAGUUAACAUAACUAGAACUUACAUCUAUAAACUGGGAAAUAAAUGGGAGGCAUCACCUCCUUUUCCUAACCCCAGUUCCCAUUUAUCCUGCCAACCACCUCGGGCUUUAUUCUCAAGACUAUUAUCCCUCAUCUUAAUUCCCUUCAGCCUGAGCUUUCCUGAUCCUUUUUCUGUCCUCUUAAUACCAAGUGCUAUUACUCAUCCCCAUUCAUCUCAACGAGGUUAAUCCCUUCUUUCCAGUCUUCCCUCCCCACCUAUUUUUCUCACUUCUCUGGACUCUAAUCCUCUCUCCCUUUUCUUAGUCAUCCCAACACUCACAUUUAGCAUUCCACCAGAACCCCCCUGCAUUUUCCUUCAUUACUUCAAUUCCUAGUCUGUAAAUUUUCAUGAAAAACUAUAAGUCUGAAAAUAAUAUAAGUAGCUUAUGCUGGGGGUCAGGUGUUGGGAGUGUAUUAAUCACCCCCUGACCCAAUGACUCAUUUUCCUGGGCUACAAACACAGUUAUUCUUCCAGAAACAUAAUUACCUUGGUCUGACUGCUUACCAAAUUACUAUAUCUUCCCUGCAUUUGAUCAAGGCUUAUUACUUUCACAAUAUUUCUGAAAUAAAACUGUAAUUUUCAAACAUUUUAAAAUAAUGCACCUAAGCAAGAAACUUUUUUUCUCAGGGAAAGACUUCUAGAAAGAGCCCCUAUUGAAUGCAAAGAACAUGCACACCACCUGAAGACUGCCAUAGAUUUUAAACUCUCAGUACCUGGACCAAUGAUUACAGCAUAUUAUUUUUGAUCCAACCAGUUGCUAACACUAGAUUGCCUAUUGGGCUCAACAGUCCUGGUCUUGUUGCUGAGGGUGAAUAUACUGACUGAUUUCAGCUGGGGAAGAAAACUCUACCCUGCUGUACAAGAGUGGUUCGAUUGUUGUGUGUUAUUUGAAUACUCUCCUGCAGUCUUAUGGAAGUUCCAGGUGAAAAGUUUUUUGUCUGUUUGUUUUUUAGUAUCACUGCAAUAGAAUGUUUAGUUUCAAAGGGUGGGUGACCAAUAGAGGACUUGCUUUUACUGUAUAAUUACUAGUUCUAUAUAAUUAUAAUGUAAAGUUUAAAGCAUUUGUACUGAGUACUGUUUUUAUGCAGUUACAUUGUAGUGUUAUUGCAGCAAUGAUGAUCUACAGACUAUCCAAGAAACAGGAUUUGUUUGGUUAUAUCAUUUAUUGGACUAAUUAUAUGUUUUGGUAGAUACCUUUUAUUGGACCAACUAUAUCGAACUAUUAAAAUAUAGUUGGUUCAAUAAGAGAUUUUAACAAAUAAAUUCCACUUUUUCCAGUUCUGUGCACGUCCACAAGCUGUAAGUCAUUAUAAUGCCACUGUAGCUGAUAGGCUGGAUGUCUGGCUGCAGAAUGACUUUUUUCCUUCAGGGAGUAUGUGGUGAAAAUUCCUUCUAUCUUGGUCCUGUGGAAAUUUUCAAAGAAUGCCCAUCAGCUUCAGGGACUUUCUUCAGUCCUCAUGUGUAACCCUGCUGCUUUUAUACCUAUUACCCGUUCAUGCCUUGAUUCUUUUAUGCAGCUAUCAAUACUAGUAGUACUUGUUUUAAAAAUUAGAAAACAUCUGUAUAAGUCAGAAAAAAAUACAAGUUAAGGAAGGUUACAGUUAAAGACAAGCCUGAACCAAAAUUUGGGGUCCUACCAGCCAGAAACUUUAAAAUGUUGGAAUUCAGAAUCUGGAGUUGGUUAUUAUUAUUUUUUACUUGAGCCAAUCUCUAGUUGCAGUCACCUGAGGAAAAUGGCAAUCAACCUAAAUAAACACUGUGAGUAUAGCAGAUGCAAAUAUACCAGUGUACAGUUAGGGUAAAAUAGUGUGUUGUGCCCCUUAGAAUUGAAGUCUGCCCCACGAUUGGAUGUACCUAUUUGAAUGAAGUGGAACAUUUUACCCCCUGCUAAUGAACCUAUUAUUUUGAAACUCAAAUGCUGAACGAAACUAGCACUAUCAUAAUAUGCCAUAAAUUAUUCUUUACCUGCUGUGACAUUCCAGAUGAGUUAAGGGAUGAGUUAGGGGAUAAUGACACACAAUUUACAUUUGAUGUAUUUUGACAAUUCUCUUUGCAGCAGCAGCUCAAAUAUAGCAUGUCAAGCCUCUUGUAUGCACCACCACGUGAGUUUGCAGAAAAGUCUGCUCAAAUUCUGUAACGCACAUGAAAAUAUAUAUUGGCUAUUAGAGUUCGAGAUUUAUGUUUGAAAGGUUAGAAACUUCAGCCAAACUUCUGUUCCAAAGUUAAGGAAUCAGACUGCCAAUAUGUGUAAAUCAUAACUCAGCUGAAAUCACUGUAGCAAUGCCAUUUUAUGCCAGCUACUCAUCUUGCUCAAUGAGUCCAGAAGGAGUCACAAAUAAUUUUUCAUCUUUGAAUGAGGGAAGAGAAUGAUAGAUCUCUAUUAAGAAAUGUAUCUCAGCUUAAUGAAGUAAGAAGUAAAUCAAAUGAAGUAAUAACACUUGUACAAAUGUAAUUACGGCUGACCAGACCAUUGCUUCAUAGACUAGAAAAAUGAGGUAAACAUGGAACAAAUGACAGCUCCAUAGAACAAAGGAGACAUCUGGCUGAUGUUUUGGUUAUGUAAAGCACAUAAAAUGCAUUUCUAGCAUUCAAGGUUCUGACUGAAAUUUCAAUAUGCUUCAAAAGUUCGAUAAGCAAAAAUA